CCAAUAGCGUAUAUUAAAGUUGUUGCAGUUAAAAAGCUCGUAGUUGAAUUUCGGAAUCUGUCCGUUGGUCGGGCUUAACUGUCCGUACUGGUGUGAUGGGUUCUUACCUUCUGAAUAACCAGCAUGCCAUUAAUUUGGUGUGUUGGGGAAGCAGGACUAUUACCUUGAAAAAAUUAGAGUGCUCAAAGCAGGCUAGCGCCUGAAUACAUUAGCAUGGAAUAAUAAAAUAGGACGGCAUGGUUCUAUUUUGUUGGUUUCUAGGAUCACCGUAAUGAUUAAUAGGGAUAGGUGGGGGCAUUAGUAUUCAAUUGUCAGAGGUGAAAUUCUUGGAUUUAUUGAAGACUAACUUCUGCGAAAGCAUUUGCAAAGGAUGUGUUCAUUAAUCAAGAACGAAAGUUAGGGGAUCGAAGACGAUCAGAUAACGUCGUAGUCUUAACCAUAAACUAUGCCGACUAGGGAUCGGACGAUGUUAAUUUUAUAAUGACUCGUUCGGCGCCUUACG
rnacentral:rRNA from 1 species